rnacentral:snRNA from 1 species
GUGCUCGCUUUGGCAGCACAUAUACUAAAAUUUGAACGAUAGAGAGAAGAUUAGCAUGGCCCCUGCACAAGGAUGACAUGCAAAUUCGUGAAGCGCUCCAUAUUUUA